rnacentral:lncRNA from 10 species
CUCGAACCCCCGACCUCACGUGAUCUGCCCGCCUCGGCCUCCCAAAGUGCUGGGAUUUUACAGGCAUGAGCCACCGCAUCCAGCCCUGAUUUAACUACUGUUUCCCUAGAACUCAGCACAACAUAGAGACUUGUUGACCACAUCUGACUGAACUAGAGACUGCUGCUCACACUGGAUGGCCAGAAUGAAUCAGAUCAUGCUUUGUGUGUAUCAUAGCUCAGGUGCUUAUAUAAGCAAACCAAUUAGGUGUUCAUAGGAUCUGGAAUUAAGGGUAAGAAUCACGGUCAAAUUGAUCACAAUGGCAGGUCUAAAUCCUGAAGAUGAAUGAUGAGGCAGAGCCAGAGAUGUGGAGUGGGUAGCUGGACUGUACAGAGAGAUGCUGGCUCCUAAUGUCGCAGUGCUGCUCAGAUUCAGUCACCACGAGACCCAGCUCCACUGCUUCCUGUCUCGGCUUCUGAAACUUGCAGACUUGUACCUUUUACUGAUGUUUUAAAUGGGAGAAAAUAAUUUUCAGAGGUCUCAGUAUUUUCUGAAGGGCAGACAAAAUUUUCCCUGAAAUAUCUUUAGACUUAAAUAAUUUCUGAAAAUAUUCAAUCUAAAUAGCCACUAUGACAAGGACUUUAGAAUUUAUAUAUCACAAAAGACAGGCAGACGGAGAGAAAGAAACAAGAAGAAAACAAAAAACCAUGGUAGGUGCUCAAUAAAUAUUUG